GGAAUUUUGCGCAAUGGGCUAACGCCUGACGCAGCAACGCCGCGUGGAGGAUGAAGGUCUUUGGAUUGUAAACUCCUGUCAGCAGGGAAAAAGGGAAGUGACCUAAUACGUCAUUGACUUGAUUGUACCUGCAGAGGACGCCCCGGCUAACUCUGUGCCAGCAGCUGCGGUAAUACAGAGGGGGCGAGCGUUAUUCGGAAUUAUUGGGCGUAAAGGGCGCGUAGGCGGCUUUGCAAGUGACGGGUGAAAGCCCUCGGCUUAACCGAGGAACUGCCUGUCAGACUGUGAGGCUUGAGACCGGGAGAGGUGAGUGGAAUUCCCAGUGUAGCGGUGAAAUGCGUAGAUAUUGGGAGGAACACCAGUGGCGAAGGCGGCUCACUGGACCGGAACUGACGCUGAGGCGCGAAAGCGUGGGGAGCAAAC
rnacentral:rRNA from 1 species